rnacentral:misc_RNA from 1 species
AUAUUUUACAAUUUUUCUUCGAACAAUGGUCCUGGACAUGUAAUAGACAAUGACGCGGUAUUUUGGUUUCGUGGAUUUAGUUACGCUAAUUUUGAUAUCAAAUAUGUAAGACCAAUUGUCGAAAAUGUGGAUAGAAUAAUGGAAAUCCUUGAGUCGACCGUCAUUUCGUGGUUUGUACGGAAGAGUGAGCGAUGAUGAUUAUGGUGAGGAUGAAGCUCAGAGUUGUUGUUAUGAUGAUUCAUCGUGGACGAUGAUAUAAUGAUAUUGGCGAUUCCCUCCUCUCUUCUUCAGCUGCGUAUGUUCUUGUUCUUUCACUGUUGCUCUUCGUCUUCUUAGAUUGUUCGCUGAGUUACCUACCCAUUCCUCAAAUGACGUCAUGAUUCCUCAAAGAAAGGAUUCUCAAGAUGAUGAUAGGAGGUGGAAUCCGGGGACCUCGAGUCAACCGUGCAAAAAGACCAAUUGAUCGAAAUCAUCCAGGAUUCACAGAUGAACCCUCCACCUCAACCACUCUUCCAGUCAAUCCCGUCAGUUUGAAAAAUGUUGUGCUUUGUCAUACGGCACGGAUCACAUCCUUUCACAUGAUUAAGGAAUCCUCAACUCCGCCUACAAAUACAACCAACACAGGAACCUCACGCUCUGAUUCAGAGGGGGUCAGAAGCAAGUCCUCAAUUUUGCAGUGUUCUCCUCAUUCACAUAUGAAUCCUGCUGGUAUGACAGAUAAUUCAGAUGCACCUAAGCCUGAGUAAUGAUGAUCAAUCAGAGGAUAUGAACCAAAGGCAACCUCCGG